rnacentral:rRNA from 1 species
GACAGAGGCCUCAAGCGUUAGGCGGAAUCACUGGGCUUAAAGCGUGUGUAGGCGGAUCGUUAAGUGUCUUGUGAAAUCCCACGGCUCACCCGUGGAACUGCUGGGCAUACUGGCGAUCUUGGGCCAACUAGGGGCAACUGGAACAAGCGGUGGAGCGGUGAAAUGCGUAGAUAUCAGGAGGAACACCGGUGGUGUAGACGGCUUUCUGGACCGUAACUGACGCUGAGACACGAAAGCGUGGGUAGCAAACAGG